AGGAACAAGUUCCAGUGUUCUUUAUCACUGUAGGAUGACUGUAGUUUACAAUAACAUAUAGUUCAAAUAGCUAGAAGGAGGAUAUUGAACAUUCCCAACACAAAGAAAUAAUAAAUGUUGGAGACGAUGGAUGUGCUACGCACCCUCAUCUGAUCUCACUAUACAUUAUAGGUGUUGAAGCAUCACUGUUAAUGUGCACAUUAUUAAUAUGUCAAUUUAAAAAAUAAAAUA